rnacentral:tRNA from 1 species
GGGCUCGUGGUGAAAUUGGUAUACACGUUAGAUUCAGGGUCUAAUGGGGUCAAACCCGUGAGAGUUCAAGUCUCUCCGAGCCCACCA